UUACAACACACUGACUGAAGAGAGAGACCAGCUACAGAAGGAAAGAGAUGAUCUCAUGAGAAAGUUCUCUAAUCUGAAACAAACCUGUCCUGAUGGCUGGCAGAAGUUCAACUCCAGUUGGUACUUCCUGUCUACUGAGACUAAAACCUGGAAGGAGAGCAGAGAGGACUGUCUGGAGAGAGGAGCCGACCUGGUGAUCGUAAACAGUGAUAUGGAACAGCAGUUUCUCUUAGGCCUCAAUAAGGGAGCCUGGAUUG